CCGACCAGGGCUGGCUGUGUCUGUGACUUUCUAUAUCCACUUGCACGGGCUGUCAACAUUGGCAGUGAUGUUGCCACCUCCCCCCAGGUGCCUGGACAGCAAGAGGGACAGAGCUGUGCUGGCCGCGCUGGUUGAGAAGCAGCAGCAAGCCCUCAGCAGAUUGGAGAAGGAGCAGAGGGAAAUCCAAUACCUGAGACACACGCAGCUGUUCAGGCACCGGGACAGGAAGCUGCUUCUGCAGCAUCAGAGGGACGUCGUCUCCAUGCCGGGGCCUGUGGACAUCCUCCCCAUCCCGGGGCCCACGGACGUCGUCCCAGCGCACGAGCUGCAGGCCCAGGCCAAGCUGCAGCAGGGUUCCAGCCCCAAAGUCAAGGCCGCCUGGGAGGGAGGCUCAGAGACAAGCCAGCAGCCAGAGGCCUCCCUGUGUCCCCUGACCCCAUGCAGGCCCAGCAGCUCCACCAGCCAUCGCCCCCAGAGCAGCCCCGCAAGCUCAAAGGCCACGCGCCCUCCCACUGAGCAGCAGGAUGUGACGCCACCCCAGACAACCUCCGAUGCAGAUGGUCACCAGCAGCCUCCGAGGCCAGCAUGGGGCGAGGACACACACGACCCCCAGGGCCCGCUGGUGGAGAGUGGCAGCCAUGUCAGUCAAG
rnacentral:lncRNA from 1 species